UACGUAGGGGGGCAAGCGUUUGUCCGGAUUUAUUGGGCGUAAAGCGCGUGUAGGCGGCUUGGUAGGUCAGCUGUGAAAACUCGAGGCUCAACCUCGAGCUGUCGGUUGAAACCACCUUGCUAGAGUCCGGAAGAGGAGAGUGGAAUUCCUGGUGUAGCGGUGAAAUGCGCAGAUAUCAGGAAGAACACCAAUGGCGAAGGCAGCUCUCUGGGACGGUACUGACGCUGAGACGCGAAAGCGUGGGGAGCGAACAGG
rnacentral:rRNA from 1 species